rnacentral:tRNA from 1 species
GGAGUUGUGGCUCAGCAGUAGAGCGCUCAUCUAGCACGUGCAAGGCCCUGGGUUCGAUCCUCAGCACCACACCA